rnacentral:rRNA from 1 species
GCAAGUCUGGUGCCAGCAGCCGCGGUAAUUCCAGCUCCAAUAGCGUAUAUUAAAGUUGUUGCAGUUAAAAAGCUCGUAGUUGAAUUUCGGGGUUAGUAGGUUGGUCAUGCCUCUGGUAUGUACUGGUCUCACUGAUUCCUCCUUCCUUAUGAACCGUAAUGCCAUUAAUUUGGUGUUGCGGGGAAUUUGGACUGUUACUUUGAAAAAAUUAGAGUGUUUAAAGCAGGCUAACGCUUGAAUACAUUAGCAUGGAAUAAUGAAAUAGGACGUUCGAUCUUAUUUUGUUGGUUUCUAGGAUUGACGUAAUGAUUAAUAGGGAUAGUUGGGGGCAUUAGUAUUCAAUUGUCAGAGGUGAAAUUCUUGGAUUUAUUGAAGACUAACUACUGCGAAAGCAUUUGCCAAGGAUGUUUUCAUUAAUCAAGAACGAAAGUUAGGGGAUCGAAGACGAUCAGAUACCGUCGUAGUCUUAACCAUAAACUAUGCCGACUAGGGAUCGGAUGAUGUUAAUUUUUUAAUGACUCAUUCGGCGCCUUACGGGAAAC